UACGUAGGUGGCGAGCGUUGUCCGGAUUUAUUGGGUUUAAAGGGUGCGUAGGCGGUCUGAUAAGUCAUCUGUGAAAUCUAUGGGCUCAACCCAUAGUCUGCAGGCGAAACUGUCGGGCUUGAGUAUGGGAGAGGUGAGUGGAAUUUCCGGUGUAGCGGUGAAAUGCGUGGAUAUCGGAAGGAACACCUGUGGCGAAAGCGGCUCACUGGACCAUUACUGACGCUGAUGCACGAAAGCUAGGGGAGCAAACAGG
rnacentral:rRNA from 1 species